UAUUUGUUUCGCCUUUAUUAAGAGACGUGUUCCGAAUCGAUUAGAUCUUAAAGUUCGAUCCGCCAUACUUAUUAUACCUUUGAAUGCUUCAGGAAACAUGGGGCUCAGAUUUAAAAUGUAUCUGAACCAUUUAGACAGCCAGGAAAGGCCCAUUUUACCCUUGAGGCCUUGACCUCUUCAAAGCAACCACCCUCAUCAUCAGCGCCUCCUCUCCGGUGUGUCACCCUCACAUCGACGCUUCCCCUCCAGCGACUGUGGGUGGGUGUGUGCAAGAGAGAACUCCAAGAACUGAAGAUGUCGUGUAAGACCUCAUAGAUUCAUUUUCCCAAUUAGGUCUAUGAGAGUUCUAAAUUUGAUUGUGACAAUUCGCACUUCAGGUUGCCCCUGCAAAAACAGUUGUGCUAAUUCGCAUCUCUUGUGUCUAAUUUGAACUCGCUUCUUUUUUACUGCCUAAUUAAUGAUAAUUUCAUUUGCAUCACUUGUAUUGUUGUAAUUAUUCAAAAGCAGUUGCUUCUUUCAAAUGCAUUUUGGAUUAGAAAUUUAGCAAAUUAAUACCAACAUUUUUCCAUUCCUACGGCUUGUUAUGAAGUUCACUGUUUCUGUGAGAACUCUGAAGUUCACUCUUAACGUUUUUUUAAUUGGCAAGAAGCAUCUAGCUGUCAGAUACAAUAAACCCAUGCCGAGAUCGUCGACCACAUAUUGUAUUCUUGGAGAUGGUUGUCAAAUGGAAGGGAUUGCAAAUGAAGCAUGUUCAUUUGCAGGCCAUUGGGGUCUUGGAAAAGUUGAUUGCGUUUUAUGAUGAUAACCACAUAUCGAUGAUUAAUUGAAGCUUGAUUUGGUUUCCUUUGGGUUUGAUUUGGAUAUUUGAUCCUUGUUUGUGAAUCCGCUAUAGAAAGAGUAGAUAUUAAACUUGA